rnacentral:rRNA from 1 species
GACGAACGCUGGCGGCGUGCUUAACACAUGCAAGUCGAACGGAAAGGCCCUGCUUUUGUGGGGUGCUCGAGUGGCGAACGGGUGAGUAACACGUGAGUAACCUGCCCUUGACUUUGGGAUAACUUCAGGAAACUGGGGCUAAUACUGGAUAGGAGCUCCUGCUGCAUGGUGGGGGUUGGAAAGUUUCGGCGGUUGGGGAUGGACUCGCGGCUUAUCAGCUUGUUGGUGGGGUAGUGGCUUACCAAGGCUUUGACGGGUAGCCGGCCUGAGAGGGUGACCGGCCACAUUGGGACUGAGAUACGGCCCAGACUCCUACGGGAGGCAGCAGUGGGGAAUAUUGCACAAUGGGCGGAAGCCUGAUGCAGCAACGCCGUGUGCGGGAUGACGGCCUUCGGGUUGUAAACCGCUUUCGCCUGUGACGAAGCGUGAGUGACGGUAAUGGGUAAAGAAGCACCGGCUAACUACGUG